rnacentral:snRNA from 1 species
AAAAUUUUUCAAAAGAAAAAAAAAUCUGUUCUUAUCAGUUUAAUAUCUGAUACGUCCCCUACCCGGGGACUACAUAUUAAAUUGAUUUUUGGAUCACGGAGCUGGAGCCGGGGCUUGCUCUGUCCACUCCACGCAUCGGCCUGGUAUUGCAGUGUUUCCAGGAACGGUGUGCUUCCC